ACGGGAGGCAGCAGUGGGGAAUAUUGGGCAAUGGGCGAAAGCCUGACCCAGCAACGCCGCGUGAAGGAAGAAGGUCUUCGGAUUGUAAACUUCUUUUAUGAGGGACGAAGGAAUUGACGGUACCUCAUGAAUAAGCCACGGCUAACUACGUGCCAGCAGCCGCGGUAAUACGUAGGUGGCAAGCGUUAUCCGGAUUUACUGGGUGUAAAGGGCGCGUAGGCGGGGAAGCAAGUCAGAUGUGAAAUCCAUGGGCUCAACUCAUGAACUGCAUUUGAAACUGUUUUUCUUGAGUGUCGGAGAGGUAGAUGGAAUUCCUAGUGUAGCGGUGAAAUGCGUAGAUAUCAGGAGGAACACCGGUGGCGAAGGCGGUUUACUGGACGACAACUGACGCUGAGACACGAAAGCGUGGGGAGCAAACAGGAUUAGAUACCCUGGUA
rnacentral:rRNA from 1 species